rnacentral:rRNA from 1 species
UACGUAGGGUGCGAGCGUUGUCCGGAAUUACUGGGCGUAAAGAGCUCGUAGGUGGUUUGUCGCGUUGUUCGUGAAAACCGGGGGCUUAACCCUCGGCGUGCGGGCGAUACGGGCAGACUGGAGUGCUGCAGGGGAGACUGGAAUUCCUGGUGUAGCGGUGGAAUGCGCAGAUAUCAGGAGGAACACCGGUGGCGAAGGCGGGUCUCUGGGCAGUAACUGACGCUGAGGAGCGAAAGCGUGGGGAGCGAACAGG